rnacentral:lncRNA from 1 species
AGCCAGAUAAGCCAUAAAUAUCUGCAGGUAUAAGCACACAGCAAGCGAGAUAAUGAAAAGUUAGCCAGAUUUACCGUUUCAAUUAUCCAGCUGGGUGGGUUGGUGGGGCUUGGAUUUUGGGGGGGGGGAAACGCCGGGAGCCGUUUCCACGAGGACCGGUCCAUGCGCAUCCACUCCGGCGCCGCGGAGCGCGAAUCAGCAGCCCCGGCUCCCCCCUCGCCAAAAAGGCGAAGAAAAAAAAAACGAAAAAAAAAAAUUUAAAAACCACGAAGAGGGGAGGGGAGGGAAGGGGAGGAGGCAGCCGGCGGCCGGGCAAACUCUACCGCCUGCGCUCCGACGCCGCCCCGACAGCUCCUCUCCCGCUCCCCGGCCCCGGAGCGCUGCGGGAGGCGGCUCCGCGGAGAGCCGCGGGGAGGAGCGGAGCGGAGCAGCCGCCAGGGGAGGGCAGUGGGCUGUGGGCUUCGGCGUGGCUCCACCCGUGGAUCCCGGGUUGCCCGCACCCGCCGAGCCGGCCCCGGUGGGCCCCAGGGUGUCCGAGGCUGCGAGGAAGAGUUGCUAGGCUGCGUGUGAUGUGGCGUAGGGGUGGACAAGGAUGCGCUAAGCGCUUCUGCAAAGGCAAAAGACCAGCUGGCAGAGCAGCGUGUUUGGACGGGGAGAUUUUUGAAGUGAGUGAUACCUUGCUGCUGCUCAGAUGUGCUUGAGAUGUAAUCAGCCUGCUGUCAGCUGCACACCUUUUCCGUCCCUUUGCUCUCUCCUUGGCAUGCAGCACUGGGCCUCCCAGCUUGACACGUCCCUGUGGAUGCUUCUAGUCCAUCAUCCCAAAAAGCUGAGAGGUCACGGAUGACCUAAUUGCAAGCAGUACUUUCUGCUCCUUUUUCAAAUGCUAUGUGCAAUUUACUUUCCUCAUGGAUAUUUACCUAGGUACUGAGUGAUCCUAGGUGCUAGUUAGUAAACCAUAUGUGCCCCUUUUUUGGCUCACGAGGUUUGUUGUUUGCUUGGACCUCUGUUUAU